rnacentral:lncRNA from 1 species
AUGAACUUAUCAAUUCUAUUGAUGAAAUUGUGUUCAUCGCCGGGUUUCUACUUGUUGCAGAGUGUUGUACUAGUUGUGCAGUAGGUGUAAAAUCAUACUAAGGAGAUUGGACAAUAAACAUGUAUGAAAUUAAUGACAAAGUGAUGCGAAUCUGCUGUUUUGAUGCUGGGAUAUGCAUUACUUUGUGUUGGAUUCCUGUCUCGAAAUGGAAACACAAGAUGAGGAUGAGGUACGCUUGCGAUGCAAAACCGGCAUUCUCAGUUCGGCCAGUUUAUGCGUCGGAUGAUAAAGCAUUGCAGUAGCUACUGAAGGAUAAAUCUCUGUUCACUAUAACUUUGCAGCAGAAGUAGGAGUUGAUAUUUCAAGGGGUACUUGAUUUAGAUGCCUUGGUUCAUGGGUUCCUUACAUACUCAGUCAUGUUGCUUUUCUUUUGGCAAAAAUUUACAGGCAGACUUUGUAAACAUCUGGGUUGGCCGCACAGGUCGAUCGAGCUGGUCAAUAUGCGUAUCUACAUUGUUAAAGCUAAUAUAUUACCACAAAUUGAAGCUGCCUGAACUACAUCCAUGGAGGCUGUGUGAUAAUCUAUCAAACUACAUCGCACAUGAUGGUCAGCUCUGCUGCAGGGAGUACCACAUUCAACUCAUCAAGGAAAAGGCCACAAAUUUUGAGUACCAUUAUUGCAGCAGAAGUAGAUGCUGAAUCAUAAAUCUCUAUCCAUGACUAUAGCUUUGAGCCUGCGAACCAUUAACAAAUGUAAAAAACGUUGCAGACUUUAGUUUGAAUCAUUGAUUUUGAUAUAUAUGUAAGCUAAGCUAGCUCUCCAACUCCAUAAGACUUCCUUUUCUAAUUCAUUGGUGGAUAAUGUUGUUAUGGAAUAAAGAUAAAUGUGUUGAUUUAUCGCUAUUCGUCCG